rnacentral:pre_miRNA from 1 species
CUAGUACUCCCUCCGUCCCAUAUUAGUUGCCGCUGAAAUGGAUGUAUCUAGAUGUAUUUUAGUGUUAGAUACAUCCGUUUGAGCGAUAACUAAUAUGGUACGAAAGGAGUAUGAU